UAUGUCACGUUUCAGGCCUCA
rnacentral:siRNA from 1 species